AAAAUCUUGGCUAUAGACAUGAAAAGAAAAAACAAGAAAUACUACAGGACAGGUGAAGAAAUACAGGAAGCGGAGAAAAGGCAAAGGGAAGAGUAGCAAGGAAAGGGAGCCGUCGUGAGAGAGUUGGCCUUGCUUAGACCAACUCCUACCAACCACAGAGCACUUCUAAGAACUUUGCAAAACCUUGAUUCCCACCUGUCCCCGAUCUGAUUCAUCUAUGAGAUGGUCUUCCGACCUCACCUCAACUCACACAUCUUGAGCAAAUCCCAGGGCAGGCUGCAGAAAACGCACAGCAGAGACAGCAAGGGAAGAACUACUGGGCUGUGCCCAGGUAAAUCCUGUUGCCACAACAGUUAAGGAAACAGCCAAGGGCCCAAGAGAGAGGAAUGUUAGUGAGACUGAGAGGUGCCGUACAAGCCAUGCCUGAUGCAACUGAGAAAAGAAUGCAGAAAUGACUAAGUUACCAUGGUUGCCUUCGGGCUAGCAAACCAAACUAAUUCCAUACUAUGCCUUAAGUCACCAAACAGGUGUGUCAAGUUACCACAUGCCUGCAUCUCCGUCCACCCAUCAUUUGUUUAAUCUCCAGAUGGGAUCAGUGUGGGUGACUGUCUUCUGAGCCAGGUUUAUAAACUAACCACAUGACUGCUCCAUGGUAUAGUUAAGGGGAAGGAUUUUGUUGCCGAUAUGAGGGAUAGAACAGCCAGAGGCAUCUGGGAGGGUCCGUGGCAGAGAGAAAAAGUAGUAGACUAAACAUGCCCAGCAGACCAGACCUGGCCAGGAGAAAAGUGGGAGCAGAACGGGGUGGGGGCAGCAAGAGCGGGAGAAAGAUCGAGAGGAAAACACAGUGUGGGCAAAAAGAGAGAGAGCAUGGCCAAAAUAGCAGGGUUAUAAAGGAGAAAGAAUAUCUAGGGGAAGGGAAGCCCAUGAGUUAGAGAAGUUUAGGGUAGGGAAGGAGGUGAGCAUUCCAUUCACUUUAUAUGAGUUUGCUUCUGGAAACCAUAAGACUAGAGAUAAACUUAAGUUGAAAGAGAGCCAAAGGAACCAGGCAUAUCAACUGGUUAAAAUGAAUAAACAUAUACCACUUAUCUAAAA